rnacentral:rRNA from 1 species
CGGCUAACUCCGUGCCAGCAGCCGCGGUAAUACGGAGGGUGCGAGCGUUAAUCGGAAUUACUGGGCGUAAAGCGCACGCAGGCGGUUUGUUAAGCUAGAUGUGAAAGCCCCGGGCUCAACCUGGGAAUAGCAUUUAGAACUGGCAGACUAGAGUCUUGGAGAGGGGAGUGGAAUUCCAGGUGUAGCGGUGAAAUGCGUAGAUAUCUGGAGGAACAUCAGUGGCGAAGGCGACUCCCUGGCCAAAGACUGACGCUCAUGUGCGAAAGUGUGGGUAGCGAACAGGAUUAGAUACCCUGGUAGUCCACGCCGUAAACGAUGAAUGCCAGACGUCAGGGGGCUUGCCCUUUGGUGUCACACCUAACGGAUUAAGCAUUCCGCCUGGGGAG